rnacentral:rRNA from 1 species
CCUACGGGAGGCAGCAGUGAGGAAUAUUGGUCAAUGGGCGCGAGCCUGAACCAGCCACGUCGCGUGAGGGAAGACGGUCCUAUGGAUUGUAAACCUCGUUUGUCGGGGAGCAAAAGACGCCACGCGUGUCGUUCCGAGAUUACCCGAAGAAAAAGCAUCGGCUAACCCCGGGCCAGCACCCGCGGUACUAUGGAGGAUGCGAGCGUUAUCCGGAUUUAUUGGGUUUAACGGGUGCGCAGGCGGAAGAUCAAGUCAGCGGUAAAAUUGAGAGGCGCAACCUCUUCGAGCAGUUGAAACUGGUGUUCUUGAGUGAGUGAGAAGUGUGCGGAAUGCGUGGUGUAGCGGUGAAAUGCAUAGAUAUAACGAAGAACUCCGGUUGCGAAGGCAGCAUACCGGCGCUCAACUGACGCUCAGGCACGAAAGUGUGGGUAUCGAACAGGAUUAGAUACCCUGGUAGUC